rnacentral:rRNA from 1 species
CCUACGGGUGGCAGCAGUGGGGAAUAUUGGACAAUGGGGGGAACCCUGAUCCAGCCAUGCCGCGUGUGUGAAGAAGGCCCUCGGGUUGUAAAGCACUUUCAGUGAGGAAGAACGCCUGGUGGUUAAUACCCAUCAGGAAAGACAUCACUCACAGAAGAAGCACCGGCUAACUCCGUGCCAGCAGCCGCGGUAAUACGGAGGGUGCGAGCGUUAAUCGGAAUUACUGGGCGUAAAGCGCGCGUAGGUGGCUUGAUAAGCCGGUUGUGAAAGCCCCGGGCUCAACCUGGGAACGGCAUCCGGAACUGUCAAGCUUGAGUGCAGGAGAGGAAGGUAGAAUUCCCGGUGUAGCGGUGAAAUGCGUAGAGAUCGGGAGGGAUACCAGUGGCGAAGGCGGCCUUCUGGACUGACACUGACACUGAGGUGCGAAAGCGUGGGUAGCAAACAGGAUUAGAUACACCUGUAGUC